rnacentral:lncRNA from 1 species
UUUAAAUGGCUCAAUAGAGGAUGUCAACUCAGCAACAUUUAUUUCAGUGAGCCAAUGUACUUUGAGAAUGGUACUAAACCCUUUCUUAAACAGAUCUUGAUCUUUUGGAUUGCUAUGAAAAGCCAUAGUUGAGCAAGUGAAGGCUGUAUUUAUUGCUUAAUGCAAACAUGCAAGGGAAGCAGACAACAGAUUUCUCCCAACUCGUGCAGCAAAAAAAAAUGCAUGAAACCUGUUAUCAACAGACCAUCGAAGGGAAAGGUGGAAAUGUAAAUCAGUCCAUGUUACUCACCUCGGAG